rnacentral:rRNA from 1 species
UACGAAGGGGGCUAGCGUUGCUCGGAAUCAUUGGGCGUAAAGCGCGUGUAGGCGGCUCGAUAAGUCCGGUGUGAAACCUUGGGGCUCAACCCCAAGCCUGCACUGGAUACUGCCGAGCUAGAGUCCGGGAGGGGAGAGCGGAAUUCCUAGUGUAGCGGUGAAAUGCGCAGAUAUUAGGAAGAACACCGGUGGCGAAGGCGGCUCUCUGGAACGGUACUGACGCUGAGACGCGAAAGCGUGGGGAGCGAACAGG